UAAUCCGUCAAUGUAGGUAUCUAAAUUCCUAAGUGACCCGCAGCCUGAUCUUUGGAUAGGAGGUUCAGCUGUGGAUACAUAUAGCCAUGUGUCGUCUUUGCUAAGCUCUUCUAUAUUAUUGUAGCAUGUGGAGCUAGAGAUGGGAAGGGACAGGUGGUGUGUGGUGUUCUUGGUAAAAUGUUGUUUUACUUCACCACAGUCUUAUGGAAAGCUGGGCUGGCUGUUUUGCUCUGAGCUGCCAUGUGUCAUUGCUCUCCAUAGCUUUAAAAAAAGACUGGGGGUUAAUGAAAAUUGAAACCUUCAGGGAGGAAUGAGUCUGUGGUUUGUUCAGGAGACCACAGGCUAAAAAUCUGAAUCAACAAGACAAGCCUCAAACUACAACCAAAACAAGCAUGUUCAUACCCUUUCCCAUCCCUUUUCCACUCUCGCCCUCCACUGCCAUGUGCCAUCAUGCUGGGCCUCUACACCCUCUGAUAGUGUAUUCUGUUCACCAGCAUCUAGUAAGUCCAAACAAAAUAAAUACUCCUGGCUAGAAUCCAGUAUAUCUUUACUUUGCACGCAUUCUUGUUCAUAAGCAAGAUCAUGUGGUGGCCUCCUGCACCUGUACCUUCUUGCAUGAAAUUCUAUCUAUAUGUUACCACACCCAUACUCCCUAGUUGCUAUAUGCACGUAUUCCCACCAGACAGGGACACACUGAAUCAAGCAGAAUUUCAGUUGUAGGGAAGGUUCAUCAAGAGGAUAUACUCGCAUCUUCAGGUGACAUAAAAUAUUAAUACACACACACACACACACACACACACACAUAUAUAAUUACUGUUCUUAAAUUAAUGUAUUUUUAUCCCGUUGAGAUUCAAGGCAGCUUACAAUGUUUUUUAAAAUUAUAAAAAAAAGUAAUAAAAACAAACAAGUUAAAAACUGUAGUUUAAUAUAACGAAACACAUUUAGAACCAGCAUUAAAAUACAAAUUUCUCUGAGAGCAGUCCAUUUGUCAAGAUUUUCUGCACCUAGUUUUCAAAGGACUGUUUAAAUAUGAAGUUCUUAGCCUGCCUUAUAAACGACUUCACAGCCAGAAGCUAUUGGGAUGAAAUACCAAAUAUAUUGAUGCUAAAAGCAAUAAUUUCUAAGGAUCCAACUAUUGAAAAGCUGACUGCUAGGUAAAGUUAUCCAAUUUGGUUUCUAUUGAAUUUUUGUCUGGUGCGCCACCUAUAAUUAACUUAUGUCUUUGCUAAUAUAAGGACACCCUAGUUUCUAUUGAUUCCUGUUUUCUACCUGCUGAGCAACCUGUAUGCUGCUCUGAAGGAUGGGGACGGAGCUGAGUAACAGCCAGUUUUCAUGGUUUUAGCCAUAGUUAUGCCUCUUGUUCCAAGUAGGCCUUGAUGCAACCUGAUACCUGCAUAAGUCCUUAAAAAGUGCCAUGUGAUUUGUUGCUUAGGUCUAUGGGCAUACGCAGACUUCAUGGUUGUAACAUCAGCCAAAUACUGUAUUCUUCUCUCCCAGCCCCCGGGUCUUUUUAUCAUCUUAUUUGAUGAAGGGUUCUGGAGAACCCAGAAGCUUACAUGCUAUUUUGUAAUAUUUUGGUUGGCCUAAUACAGCUGUUGACCUAAUAUGGAUUUUGGAAUUUUUCUUAUGAGCUAAUUAGUUUUUGUGUGAAAGUGUUAAGGGUUUGGAGCACCUUUCCUGUAAGUAACAGUGAAAGUUUUUAAGGCCUUUUACUGUGGAACACAAAAGACUAAUAAAUGGGACAGCUGGAGUUUGUGAUAUAUGAACAGUGAAUUUGCUCUGUCUUUUAUAUAUUCUAGGAUACUGGUCAGGUUGUGAUCCUGAAGGAUGCAAGAUGAGGUUUGUAAGGCACCAACCUUGAACAGUGCACACUGUAGGAGUGGGGACAACUUCUGGAAGAAGGUUCUAGGGAAGGCACACGGCUUGAGGGUUCAAGGCCUAUCACUUUGGGCUCAUCCAGAUUUCCUCUUUUGCUGCAUUUCUAGACACAAGCCCACACUUCAAACCAUUGUGUCUGAGUGCCCCCUCUGCUUUCCCUGUGAAAACCUCCUAUUUACCACUGAAUCAGAGCAAACAGCAAUCCAAUUCAGCAUUAAAGAGCAGGUUUUCCUGGGGAAAGAGGGGGGAGUGCUCAGAUACUGAGCUUUAAAACACAGACCUGUGCCUAGAAAGCAUGGGGCAAAAGGUAAGUGUGUAUAAGCCCUUAACUGAGAGCUGGCAGAAGUUUAAAGGAGCAGAACCCAGACUUAUAAGUGCUAGCUGGGUGGUGACCAGGCACAUACACUGUCACAUACACUUGAAGCUUUACUGAAUGUGAAGUUGAUGAGGUGCCACAGCUGCAAAUUCAGGCUCCUUGUUGAAGUCUGAGAUCCCAGAUCCAGGGGCAGGGUCAACUUCACAGGGGCCUGUGCUUUCUGUUGCUUGAACUGAGUAUUAAAAGAAAGGGCAUUAAUUUUCCAAAAUACUCAAGAAGUAGAAACUCAACUCCAAUGCCUCUCCCCUCACCUGUCCACUCUGCCCAUUCAUUAUGCAUCAAGGCAGUUAUUACAUUCUUGGGUUAAGUGAAGAGAAUGCUUCCAAGUGCCAAUUUAAUUUUUACAGUAUUCAAUGAUUGAAAUAUUUAUGUAUUUAUUUUGGUUGCAUGUGUGCAUGUCCACAGAGGGAAUAGGCCUCUCCUGCUGUUGGCCUGUAGCACACGCUUGCGCUCGCUCGCUCACACACACGCACAAACAUAUAUAAGACAUCCAUACCCACCCCCUACCUGUUCUUCUUGUCCUGUUAGUGGUCUAUGUUGCCUGCAGGAUUAUGUAUAUUUAGCCCUCUCUCUAUUCGGACACAACUAAACACAGUUGCCAAAUGUGGAAGGGUUUUGCUGAUAACAAUGGCCUGUUGAUUCACUAUUGAUUUGCCUGCCAAUGCUGCCUGUAAUUGUACUAGCUCUGUGCUAAUUCUGUGGGCAGUCCUCUUAAACCUGGAGGUUUUAGAUUUGUGACUUUAGCAGCUGCUCUGCUCUGUUUUUGUUCUGACAUUCUCACAUUGGACUGCAGGAAAUUCACGUUAUCUCCUUUAAGCAGAGUGCAGGCGUGUUUGUGUCUCCUAUUCUAAAUCCUCCUUUCCUUCUACUAUAUCAGCUGAGAGCAAAAUACCCUUCUGAUUCAGUUGGCCAAAUGUAAAAAGCUAGUUCUUUCCCUAUGAGACCUGGUAUUUCCAUUUCUCCCUCAUCACUUCUUAAAAUUUGGUGGAUGAUAAUGUGAUGAGAAAUCUCUUUAGUUUUGGCUGCUUUGAGUGGUUUAAGCUCCCAAUCUGCAUGGCAAAAGGAAUUGGACAUCAUAUAGUUGCCCAUAAUAGUUUUGCUUGGAGCCCUUCAUCACUGUGUCUUGACCUCAGUGCAGUUGGAGUGGGUAGAGUAGUUUUAGUCAGUCCUUCAUGCGUGGCCACUGUACACUUAAGUAGCUUAUAUGCCCAGCAUUAAGCAGUUUGCAGGGUGAAGGUGUAGGAUUCAUUAUGGAGCAUGACUGUGUGAUAUUGAGGCUGUAAUUUCCAUAUAUAUAUAUAUAUCUUCCCCUAUCAGUUGACAUCUCUUGAAAUAGGUAGUUGUGAUGGGAGCAGAGGUGUAGUGGUGUGGGGCUGAAGACUUGUUACUGUUUCUCCAGCAGUCACAACACAGUCCCUGUCUCUAAUGUCAUAGAACAGGUGGUCCAACGCACAGUCUGAGGGCCACACACGGCCCCCUAUGCCUUUUUUGGCAGCCCUUGGCAACAUUAGAUGCCCCCUUCCCAGCCCUUGUACUGUCUUCCCAAAGCUGGGUAAGCGAGGUGCUGGCCUUUGGGAAGGAGGUGUGUGGGCUCUGACAGGGUCCUAGAGUCUUCCCUCCACCUUCCCAAAGCCUAGUUAGCACUUUCCCAACUUUGGGAGGGAGAUAGGAGGGUCCAGGACCCUGCCAGAGCCUUGUGCCUAGCUUAGCCAGCUUUGGGAAGGCAGUGUGAGAGCUUGGGGGGGGGGCGUGUCAAAUUUUUGCCUCACCCCCCCCCACCUUUGUGACAAGGCAGUGUGAGGCCUGCGCAUGCAGUGUCAAAGUACUCUUGCAGCCUACCUGAUAUAAAAUGUUGGUCUGCCCUGUCCUUGAACCACCCAACCAGCAUGAAAAGGGAGCUUUUUAGUCACUGUAAAGUCUUGUCACCCUUUGGCUACAGUUGUUCUGUCCCAGCCUAUACAUAAGGUGUACUGUAUGACAAAAAAAUUCUGUAGAAGUGUGAAAAGUUGCAUUUUCCUCCUACAAAUAUUGUAUCUUAAAACCUACCUUGUAUUCCCUUGGAAAAAAUAUAUGUUUUUAAAUAAACUGUGAUAAGUUUUGACAAUGCUAUAGCAUGUUAUUUUGCGCUCUCUCUCCCCCCCCCACUCCUGUAGCAAGUAACUUGACUUACUUACUUGAAUCCCUUUUUUCUUUUUUUUCCUUUUUUCCAAAGAGCUCAAGGUGGUGCACACAGUUUUCCUCCCCCUCAUUUAACAACCUUGCAACUUCUUCCUCACAACAACCCUGUGUAGUAGGCUAGGUUGAGAGGCAGUGAGUGGCCCAAGGUCACCAUGGCCAACUGAGGAUUUGAAGCCUGAUCUUCCAGGUAAUAAGUCUGACAAUCGAACUAGCACAACACACAGGGAUUGCUCUGUAGGCAUUCUGAUAUUUUGUUGCCCAUGCCUGGAGUUUAACUAUGGGAAGCUAGCGUGAAUUGGACUGGAGGGGAUGAACUAUGGUUUUGGUUGUUGUUGUUUUUUUAAAAAGUCUGAGUGUUUUUGGGUUUCCAUACU